rnacentral:misc_RNA from 1 species
GAUGAAGAACGCAGCGAAAUGCGAUAAGUAAUGUGAAUUGCAGAAUUCAGUGAAUCAUCGAAUCUUUGAACGCACCUUGCGCUCCUUGGUAUUCCGAGGAGCAUGCCUGUUUGAGUGUCAUGAAAUUCUCAACCUUUUCAGCUUUCUUUGUUGAUCAGGCUUGGAUGUGGGAGUAUCCGGGCUUCUCAGAAGUCGGCUCUCCUGAAAUGCAUUAGCGGGACCUUUGUUGCCUGGCUUUGGUGUGAUAAUUAUCUACGCCAUUGUAGUCAAGCAGCUUAAAAUGAGGUUUCAGCUUCUAACCGUCUCCCCUGAGACAACUUUUUGACAAUUUGACCUCAAAUCAGGUAGGACUACCCGCUGAACUUAAGCAUAUCAAUAAGCGGAGGA